rnacentral:rRNA from 1 species
AUGCUUUUCCUAAAGAUUAAGCCAUGCAUGCCUAAGACUAUGAGGAAGCAAUUCUCUCUGAAUCUGCGAACGGCUCCGCAAACCAGUUGUAAACCAUAGCAGUGUUCCGCCCGGCUUCAGCAAUGGGGUCGGGCAUUAUAUGGAUAACCGUGGUAAUUCUGAGGCUAAUACAUGACACACCAACUCGGCGGGCUGGGGGACAACCGGCUUGCUGGGGACGUGCGAUCAGCAAUGCUAUAACGAACAUCGGGAUGAGCG